CCUAUGGAGUAUCACAUCAAACGCAAGUAGCUGUUAUCAAAAGCAAAAGCAGAUACGAGGAAAUAGGAA
rnacentral:sRNA from 12 species